UACAUCUGUAGUCCUAGAAAGAAUGUAAUUUUGUACCAUUCGUCUUAUUUUAAAAAAAUAUGAUUCAUAUUGUUAUUAUUAUUAGAUAAUAAAAUAUAAAUAGUACUUUAAGUAUGACUAUUUUUUAUUUUUUUCAUAAAUUUUUCAAAUAAAACGGAUGGUGAAACGUUGGAUACGGAAAUUCACAACUGCAUUUAAA
rnacentral:pre_miRNA from 1 species